GGCUGGUCCGAGUGCAGUGGUGUUUAUAACUAUUUGAUCACAACCAGUUACAUACUUCUUUGUUCCUUCUCCACUCUCACUGCAUCGCUUGACUAACCUUAA
ensembl:misc_RNA Y_RNA Y RNA